CGCCUAACACAUGCAAGUCGAACGAAGUAGCAAUACUUAGUGGCAGACGGGUGAGUAACAUGUGGGUAUCUGCCCUUUGGCCUGGAAUAACACGAGGAAACUUGUGCUAAUACUGGAUAAGUCUUUACGGAGAAAGCUUUACGCACCAUUGGAUGAGCCCGCACUUGAUUAGUUUGUUGGUGGGGUAAUGGCCCACCAAGACUUUGAUCAAUAGCUGAUUUGAGAGGAUGAUCAGCCACAUUGGGACUGAGACACGGCCCAAACUCCUACGGGAGGCAGCAGUGGGGAAUCUUGCACAAUGGAGGAAACUCUGAUGCAGCGAUGCCGCGUGAGUGAAGAAGGCCCUUGGGUUGUAAAGCUCUUUCGUCGGGGAAGAAAAUGACUGUACCCGAAUAAGAAGGUCCGGCUAACUUCGUGCCAGCAGCCGCGGUAAUACGAAGGGACCUAGCGUAGUUCGGAAUUACUGGGCUUAAAGAGUUCGUAGGUGGUUGAAAAAGUUGGUGGUGAAAUCCCAGAGCUUAACUCUGGAACUGCCAUCAAAACUUUUCAGCUAGAGUUUGAUAGAGGAAAGCAGAAUUUCUAGUGUAGAGGUGAAAUUCGUAGAUAUUAGAAAGAAUACCAAUUGCGAAGGCAGCUUUCUGGAUCAUUACUGACACUGAGGAACGAAAGCAUGGGUAGCGAAGAGGAUUAGAUACCCUCGUAGUCCAUGCCGUAAACGAUGUGUGUUAGACGUUGGAAAUUUAUUUUCAGUGUCGCAGCGAAAGCGAUAAACACACCGCCUGGGGAGUACGACC
rnacentral:rRNA from 1 species